rnacentral:rRNA from 1 species
AUUGAACGCUGGCGGCAGGCCUAACACAUGCAAGUCGAGCGGAUGAAGGGAGCUUGCUCCUGGAUUCAGCGGCGGACGGGUGAGUAAUGCCUAGGAAUCUGCCUGGUAGUGGGGGAUAACGUCCGGAAACGGGCGCUAAUACCGCAUACGUCCUGAGGGAGAAAGUGGGGGAUCUUCGGACCUCACGCUAUCAGAUGAGCCUAGGUCGAAUUAGCUAGUUGGUGGGGUAAAGGCCUACCAAGGCGACGAUCCGUAACUGGUCUGAGAGGAUGAUCAGUCACACUGGAACUGAGACACGGCCCAGACUCCUACGGGAGGCAGCAGUGGGGAAUAUUGGACAAUGGGCGAAAGCCUGAUCCAGCCAUGCCGCGUGUGUGAAGAAGGUCUUCGGAUUGUAAAGCACUUUAAGUUGGGAGGAAGGGCAGUAAGUUAAUACCUUGCUGUUUUGACGUUACCAACAGAAUAAGCACCGGCUAACUUCGUG